GGAGGCUUUAUUUUAGUCAAAUGAACAUACUACAAAGAUCAAAUAUAUAUUCCAUAAAUCCUUUGCCUCAACUACAAGAUCAAUAUACAAAAUAUCAUACACCAAAAACCGAAUCCUAUGCCAAUAAUCUUUCAGAGUUCUAAAGUCUGGGAGAGGCAGCUAAAGUUCCUGUUGGACAAGUUCAUUCUUAGCGUUCCACGCAAAGGGAAAAGAUGACUAGAGGUUCUAGAAAGUGUUGAAGGAAAAAUCAAAGAGGUUCUUCAGUGAUUUACCUAAGGUUUAGUUGUGAUUGGACCAACUCUAAGUUAUCUUUUCUAAUGGAUCAUUUUGACAAGGUUUGCUCGAAGUUUUUUAAUCCAUGUGAAGAGAUCUUCAAGGGGUUUUCCUUCAUUAACAAAUAUUGGUAUUAUUUACUUUUAUGUUUUGAUAUCUAUAUACUUGAUUGACAAUGAAGGUUUAAAUUGAC
rnacentral:lncRNA from 1 species